CGUACGAGAACUCUUUAGCUUGCUAAGGAUAGUAAAGUGGCGCACGGGUGAGUAACGCGUGAGUAAUCUACCCUGGAAAUCGGGAUAACUUCGCGAAAGYGAUGCUAAUACCGAAUGAUAUYUAACUUGCUUYGGGUUUUKAAAUCAAAGGUGGCCUCUAUUUGUAAGCUACUGUUUGGAGAUGAGCUCGCGUACCAUUAGCUUGUUGGUAGGGUAAUGGCCUACCAAGGCUACGAUGGUUAGCUGGUUUGAGAGGAUGAUCAGCCACACUGGAACUGACACACGGUCCAGACUCCUACGGGAGGCAGCAGUGAGGAAUUUUGCGCAAUGGGGGAAACCCUGACGCAGCAACGCCGCGUGAGUGAUGAAGGCUUUCGGGUCGUAAAGCUCUGUCAAGUGGGAAGAAAAAGAAAAAUGAUAAUAUGAUUUUUCWCUGACGGUACCACUAAAGGAAGCACCGGCUAACUCCGUGCCAGCAGCCGCGGUAAUACGGGGGGUGCAAGCGUUAUUCGGAAUUAUUGGGCGUAAAGGGCGCGCAGGCGGUCUUUUAAGUCAGAUGUGAAAGCCCGGGGCUUAACCUCGGAAGUGCAUUUGAAACUGAAUGACUUGAGUAUGGGAGAGGGAAGUGGA
rnacentral:rRNA from 1 species